rnacentral:rRNA from 1 species
UUUAUUGGCGUUUUAGUAACUGUGUAACAACACACAAAAUACUGUAGACAACAAAUAUAGAAGUUCACUGAUUGAAGUUCAACUUCAGCUCUAACGAAUGACUAGUGUACGAAGUCCGUCAUCAUUAAUGUUAGAAAUAGAGACAAACUCUUCGUUUCUACUUAAUAAAACUUGAAGCCUAAUCAACUCAAUCCUCGAUAUACAUGGUCAAAACAGACUAGUUGGUGCUCAAGAUAACAUUAGGAAAGACUAUGUAAAAAAUCUAAAAACAUAGGUCGACUUAGAAACACAAGGCGGCACCGGCACUAUAGAGUACGCAAUAGUAGGUCGACUUAGAAAUAAAUGUUACAGCACUAUAGAGUACGCAAUAGUAAGUAAGUAAGAAUAAAAUCCACUACGCAACUGGACUUGCCGUACCACCAUUCCGUAGUAUUAUCCACGACGAUAACCGGUCUUACCGCGGCACCAUUCCGUAAGAUUCCAAGGUAUACUAAUCACAAACCCACUGACGACAACUAAGGAUGUGGCUCAACACAACGACAUGUUUAUCGGAGAGAACAACCACCACGGUGCCGCAGGGAAGAUCCAAGUCGUCGCCCGUUACGAUUUCUGUCUCAACCCACGUGUAGUAUAUAUAUGUAUACAACAGCGCAGAAUUAUUUCCCUCUACUCGUCUUCAUCUCUACUCUAUAGAUAGGCUGACAGUAGCAAGGGUCUGAACCCCGUGGUAUUGAGAUUGGGCUGUACUCGUCACGUUGGUGCCGUCACUCGUCACCUUAGCGUUCUAUCUCUAUCUGUGUUCAUCUUAUAUUGACCAGUAUAAAGAUGUUACUGGUGUGAUGAAUACCACGGCCUUCUCUUCCGUAGUCACUAUCACCCGAACCACUACUCCCGUAGUUAUGUUUCUCUAAUUAAGUGUUGAGACAAGAACUAUCCAACAUGUUUAUAUGUUCCGGUCAAAAUGUAAAUGAAAAAGUUAUUACUCUACCGGUACUUGUCUCUAGUUCAAAAAACGGAACCGUAAUGACGACAACACAUGUCUACCAAUGAUUUUCUUCCUAAGUAUCGCCGUAUGGAAGUGAGCUGUCUACGAAAUUGGCGUUCUUGACAACAAUUAAAAAAAGGGAAAGGAGGUUACUACCAUCAAGAGGAAACUAAGAUCUUCGGUGUUUCCUCACUUCCCAUCUCAACAACUUAACCGCUAUACAGGUGUAGUACAGGUGUAGCAACAACUUAACCACCCUAACAGUGGUUCAAUCACAACGUCUAACAAAGAUAAAAUCUCGUUCUUCGGUUUAGUACAACAAGUAACAUUUAAAACUUUUUGGACAACACAUAACAGUGAAGAUAUAGAUAAUAUUUGAAUGCAAGGAC